rnacentral:rRNA from 1 species
UACGUAGGGUGCGAGCGUUGUCCGGAAUUAUUGGGCGUAAAGGGCUCGUAGGCGGUUUGUCGCGUCGGGAGUGAAAUCCACUGGCUUAACUGAUGGCUUGCUUUCGAUACGGGCAGACUGGAGGUAUGCAGGGGAGAACGGAAUUCCUGGUGUAGCGGUGAAAUGCGCAGAUAUCAGGAGGAACACCGGUGGCGAAGGCGGCGUCCUGGACCAACACUGACACUGAUGAGCGAAAGCCAGGGAGCAAACGGG